rnacentral:rRNA from 1 species
AUUGAACGCUGGCGGCAGGCCUAACACAUGCAAGUCGAGCGGAUGAAGGGAGCUUGCUCCUGGAUUCAGCGGCGGACGGGUGAGUAAUGCCUAGGAAUCUGCCUGGUAGUGGGGGAUAACGUCCGGAAACGGGCGCUAAUACCGCAUACGUCCUGAGGGAGAAAGUGGGGGAUCUUCGGACCUCACGCUAUCAGAUGAGCCUAGGUCGGAUUAGCUAGUUGGUGGGGUAAAGGCCUACCAAGGCGACGAUCCGUAACUGGUCUGAGAGGAUGAUCAGUCACACUGGAACUGAGACACGGUACAGACUCCUACGGUAGGCAGCAGUGGGGAAUAUUGGACAAUGGGCGAAAGCCUGAUCCAGCCAUGCCGCGUGUGUGAAGAAGGUCUUCGGAUUGUAAAGCACUUUAAGUUGGGAGGAAGGGCAGUAAGUUAAUACCUUGCUGUUUUGACGUUACCAACAGAAUAAGCACCGGCUAACUUCGUG